rnacentral:rRNA from 1 species
CACCAUUCUGGGUUGUAAAGUACUUUCAGUCGUGAGGAAGGUGUUAAGGUUAAUAACCUUAGCAAUUGACGUUAGCGACAGAAGAAGCACCGGCUAACUCCGUGCCAGCAGCCGCGGUAAUACGGAGGGUGCGAGCGUUAAUCGGAAUUACUGGGCGUAAAGGGCACGCAGGCGGUUAAUUAAGUUGGAUGUGAAAUCCCCGGGCUUAACCUGGGAAUGGCAUUCAAGACUGGUUAGCUAGAGUCUUGUAGAGGGGGGUAGAAUUCCAUGUGUAGCGGUGAAAUGCGUAGAGAUGUGGAGGAAUACCAGUGGCGAAGGCGGCCCCCUGGACAAAGACUGACGCUCAUGUGCGAAAGCGUGGGGAGCAAACAGGAUUAGAUACCCUGGUAGUCCACGCUGUAAACGAUGUCGAUUUGGAGGUUGUGGUCAUGAACUGUGGCCUCCGGAGCUAACGCGUUAAAUCGACCGCCUGGGGAGUACGGCCGCAAGGUUAAAACUCAAAUGAAUUGACGGGGGCCCGCACAAGCGGUGGAGCAUGUGGUUUAAUUCGAUGCAACGCGAAGAACCUUACCUACUCUUGACAUCCAGCGAAUCCUUUAGAGAUAAAGGAGACGC